AGAGCGAACCUCNGAAAAGCAGUCUCAGUUCGGAUUGGAGGCUGAAACCCGCCUCCAUGAAGCCGGAAUUGCUAGUAAUCGCGGAUCAGCAUGCCGCGGUGAAUACGUUCCCGGGCCUUGUACACACCGCCCGUCACACCAUGAGAGCCGGGGGGACCCGAAGUCCGUAGCCUAACCGCAAGGGGGCGCGGCCGAAGGUGGGUUCGAUAAUUGGGGUGAAGUCGUAACAAGGUAUC
rnacentral:rRNA from 1 species